UAUAAUGCAAGUCGAACGCGUUGGCCCAAUUGAUUGAUGGGUUGCACCUGAUUGAUUUUGGUCGCCAACGAGUGGCGGACGGGUGAGUAACACGUAGGUAACCUGCCCAGAAGCGGGGGACAACAUUUGGAAACAGAUGCUAAUACCGCAUAACAGCGUUGUUCGCAUGAACAACGCUUAAAAGAUGGCUUCUCGCUAUCACUUCUGGAUGGACCUGCGGUGCAUUAGCUUGUUGGUGGGGUAACGGCCUACCAAGGCGAUGAUGCAUAGCCGAGUUGAGAGACUGAUCGGCCACAAUGGGACUGAGACACGGCCCAUACUCCUACGGGAGGCAGCAGUAGGGAAUCUUCCACAAUGGGCGCAAGCCUGAUGGAGCAACACCGCGUGAGUGAAGAAGGGUUUCGGCUCGUAAAGCUCUGUUGUUAAAGAAGAACACGUAUGAGAGUAACUGUUCAUACGUUGACGGUAUUUAACCAGAAAGUCACGGCUAACUACGUGCCAGCAGCCGCGGUAAUACGUAGGUGGCAAGCGUUAUCCGGAUUUAUUGGGCGUAAAGAGAGUGCAGGCGGUUUUCUAAGUCUGAUGUGAAAGCCUUCGGCUUAACCGGAGAAGUGCAUCGGAAACUGGAUAACUUGAGUGCAGAAGAGGGUAGUGGAACUCCAUGUGUAGCGGUGGAAUGCGUAGAUAUAUGGAAGAACACCAGUGGCGAAGGCGGCUACCUGGUCUGCAACUGACGCUGAGACUCGAAAGCAUGGGUAGCGAACAGGAUUAGAUACCCUGGUAGUCCAUGCCGUAAACGAUGAGUGCUAGGUGUUGGAGGGUUUCCGCCCUUCAGUGCCGGAGCUAACGCAUUAAGCACUCCGCCUGGGGAGUACGACCGCAAGGUUGAAACUCAAAGGAAUUGACGGGGGCCCGCACAAGCGGUGGAGCAUGUGGUUUAAUUCGAAGCUACGCGAAGAACCUUACCAGGUCUUGACAUCUUGCGCCAACCCUAGAGAUAGGGCGUUUCCUUCGGGAACGCAAUGACAGGUGGUGCAUGGUCGUCGUCAGCUCGUGUCGUGAGAUGUUGGGUUAAGUCCCGCAACGAGCGCAACCCUUGUUACUAGUUGCCAGCAUUAAGUUGGGCACUCUAGUGAGACUGCCGGUGACAAACCGGAAGAAGGUGGGGACGACGUCAGAUCAUCAUGCCCCUUAUGACC
rnacentral:rRNA from 1 species